CACCAGCAAAGUCAGAGCCAAGCAGAGCAGCAGCUGACGCUUCUUCCCAGUCCCCUCCCACCAAAGGACACGCUAGAGGUGGUUUGUGCAGGGGCUGUGGGGGUCUCGAGUCGAGCUUUAGUCACUGACAUGUGGCUGGGAGCCACAGGCUGGCAGACUAGGCAACUGAAGCUAGACCAUGCGGGACGCUUCACCUAGUAGGAGGCUACUGAGAAGUCUACAGGUCUCCAGUUCACUUCCUCGACUGAUGUUUAAAGAUGCCACGUGCUGACCUCACCCUGGUUCUCACUACCCCACGCCGUAUGUGAUAAGGAGGCCCCACUCUGGUUAAGAUGGAAAUCACGUCUGGGAGAGUCGGUCCAGGGAUGCUCUAGGAAGUAACCAUUAAAAGGCAAGAGAAAGGACGCGUGGAACACAGAAUGGAUGCGGAAGCUCUGGGGUCACUCUGAGACAACAGAAUUGCUCUUGGGGGCAAAGUGCCGGGCACUGAUGGCGUGGGACUGAGACUUCGCCCGCGGGGUGGACGGGCCGGAAGCUGGGGCGCGGGGAGCCGCGCGGCCGGGGUGGGGGAGGUCUCGGCGAUCCGCGGCGGAGAAGGGCUGGGGCGCGGGCCACGGCGCUUACCUCCUGCACGCCGCCCUCGUGCUGCUGCGCCAUGGCCAGCAGCAUGCCGUCGAAGCGCUCCUCCUCCUGUUCCCCGCCCAUCGCGCUGCGCUCCGAGCUCCGCACUCGCGCUCUGCGAUGCCCGCGCUCCGCACGGUUCGCGUCGGGCCCAACGGUUCCCCUCGCCGGCCUUCCGCAGCGGAGCCGGAAACACGCACGGUCCCGGCCGCCCGGGCCCGCCCUUCCCUGCUCUCUUCCCGCCUCCCCGCCCAUCGGUGGCCAUUGAGCUCCCGGAACACAGCCCGCUUCACCGGUCAUUGGCUAACGGGAGGAGCAAAUCAACAGGCGCGACCCGAAAGUGGUGGGAGGGGCUUGCGGCCGCAGAGUUUGGUUUGAGUUGCUAUGGUCACCAGAUACCUGGGAGCCUUCUAGAAAGCUCCGACCGAGCUCACGUCCUUGAUAGGGCUGGUAGUUAGGAGAAGUUUUGAUCAAGCACUGCCUUCAGCCGUCUUUUCCUACGGGCGGCAGUUGAGACCCAGGAAGAAAGUGCUCACCAAAGGGACGACCUCCUCCAUCAUACUGGGCUAGGCUUUUGGAAAAGUGCACAAAACCGUAGUUUGCAUAGAGCCCCAGGCUUAGAAACUAUUUGCAGCUGGAUUAAUGCUCUUCCCUUACUGUCUGGAAA